rnacentral:rRNA from 1 species
UGAUGAAGAACACAGUGAAAUGUGAUAAGUAAUGUGAAUCGCAGAAUUCAGUGAAUCAUCAAAUCUUUGAACGCACCUUGCACCUUUUGGUAUUCCAAAAGGUACACCUGUUUGAGUGUCAUGAAGUAAACUCAUUAAUUAACUUUUUUAUUAAAGUUUUUUGAUGGAUGUUGAGUGUUGCUGUGAUUGUUACAGCUCGCUUUAAAUAUAUAAGCUCAUCUUAUCACUUGAUUUGGACUGACUUGAUGUGAUAUAUAUCAACUUCAUCAAGGAAUGUAUACUAUAAAUGUACAGCCAAUCAUUUUCUGAUAAGUAGGCUUCUAAACCAUUUUCUUCAACAUGUUUUGAAAGCAUGAUGAAAAAAAUACCAAUUGUAAGACCUCAAAUCAGGUGGAAUUACCCGCUGAACUUAAGCAUAUCAAUAAGCGGAGGAAAAGAAACUAACAAGGAUUCCCC